UACGUAGGUGGCAAGCGUUAUCCGGAAUGAUUGGGCGUAAAGGGUGCGCAGGCGGAUGUAUAAGUCUGAAGUAAAAGCCAUCGGCUCAACCGAUGUAAGCUUUGGAAACUGUAGAUCUAGAGUGCAGGAGAGGACAGUGGAAUUCCAUGUGUAGCGGUAAAAUGCGUAGAUAUAUGGAGGAACACCAGUGGCGAAGGCGGCUGUCUGGCCUGUAACUGACGCUGAGGCACGAAAGCGUGGGGAGCAAAUAGG
rnacentral:rRNA from 1 species